rnacentral:lncRNA from 1 species
AGUACAAGAGAACUGGAGCAUCUCUGGCUCCUUCCAUAAUCGAAGGGCUUCCAGCGUAGGGCGUAGGGGGAGAGGCCCGAAGCCCUGGAGACAGCGCCCGAGGGAUGGAGGCCGCGCUCGGCUGCGCUCAGGUCCGGGUGGCUCCGGGAGCUGAGACCCCGCAGGAUGCAGCGGGGGGGGGCCAGGGCCUGAUCCCCUACCCCUGCGAGCCAGGGCCGCCUACGCCCCCACUGCUUCCCACAGGCUACUAGACGCAACAAUAGAAUUACCAUAUUGUUUUUCCUGGUUUGAAAGGACCAGAUGGAAAGAAACUGGGCAAGCCAAUGAAAGUCUCUGGGGAUCAUGGGAAUUGAGUGUCUAUGAAAACCAUAUUCCAGACAAGAAUAUAGUCUAAGGACACAGCAAGAGGCAACAUUUUGGAAGCAGAGGGCAACUCUCACUGGAAACCAAAUCUCCUGGCACCUUGAUCUUGGAUUUUACAGCCUCCAGAACUGAUAGCUGGGAGGCAUUACAUAGUCAUGUGCGAGGUCAAAACUGAGUCACCACCACAACCAAGUUCCAGCUGGCAAGAAGAGGAAAAAUAACACAGAGGAGUUAUGACCAGUGUUGUAAGGAUCUGGCCUAGAAAUGGCAUGCAUCUCUUCCACUAAUAUCCUAUUGGUAAAAAUGUAGUCACAUGGGCACACCACCUAUCUGCAUGGAAGGCUGGGAAAUGUUGAUCGGUAGGGCAGCCAUAUGUGUAGGAAGGAGAAAACAGAAUUUGGUGGAUACCUAGUAGUCUCUGCCAUACCCUUGACCAGAAAUUUUUCUUCUAAAGAAUUUAAUUCUAAAAGUUAUAGACAUUCCCAAAGAUAUACCUGCAAGCAUCACAGCUUUGUGUAUAAUUGCAAAAGUUGAAAUCAACAUGAAUGCCCAAAAUAGUGAAUUAUUUAAACAGAUUAUUACCCAUAUUAUGAAGAAAUACUCUGCAACUCUUAAAAAUAAAUGUAAUGUGCCAGGCGCAAUGGGAUAUGCCUGCAGGCCCAGCUACACGGGAGGCCAAGGCAGGAGGAUCACUUGAAAUCAAGAGUUCAAGUCUAGCCUAGACAACAUAGUGAGACUUGGUCUCUAAAAAAGAAAAAAAAAAAUAAAACUGAUGUAAUGAAUAUAUAAUUACAACAAAAGAGGUCUAACACUAUAGUAGAAAAGUUUGGGGCACUCAUCCCAUUCAUAAUUAUUUUACAUUUAAAUUACUGUUCCUACUUAAGUGGUGAGCUUGGUAACCAUUUUCAUAUCAGGUGAUACUGCUGCAGUAAUCAUAGCUGUUUGAAUCAGGAAUAAUCCCAAUCACAUUUUCUCUUAAUCGUUUAUUAUACUGGGCAUUGGGGUUGCAAGAUAAUGCACAGUCCGAGCUCAAUACAUGUCUUCAUGUACCUGUAUGUAAAUCCCACUUUUAUUCUAAAAUUCUUUGAAUAUUUUGUUUCUUGGAACCCAAUGAUCCUAAGAAAAUUAUGUACUUUUACCUGAAAAUUAAAACCAAUAUUUAUAAAAAGUGUAUAUGCAGUAUGAUACCACUUUUAAAAAAAGAUAAAUUUAUAGAAAAAAGUUUAUAUGACUGACAACAAUGUCUCUGAGUGGUAGGAUUACAGUUAAUUUUUAUUUUCUUCAUUCUACUUAUCUUUAUUUUCUGAACUUUCUACAAUGAACAUGUUUUAUUUUUACUUUUGUUAAAAUAAAUAACAUUUAAUUUGACGGAAAAUUCUAAAAAUCAACAUUUGGUAACUUAAAUAUUCAUUGGCACAUGAUUCUGUGCCUGUUUCUGGGGGUCAUUCCCAUGAGAAGAGCAGGUAGAACUUAUGAGAAUAGAGCAGUCGAAAUAUUAUAGGUUUCAUAUUUUACGGCUUUAUUGAAAACAUUGAUAUAUUGAAUAUUCAUAAAUUUUAAUUUAACUUUCUUUUAUAAUCCUUAAUGUGAGGCUAAGGUAUAAGGAGAAAGGAGAUUGGUAAGGAAGUGUGAUACAUAUUGAAUCAGGUGUCAAGGUACCAUUUGUGCCUGGAUCUGACCAAUAGACCAAGGUAAAAAUCUCAAAGAAUGAGACUUGUAAUGAGAAUGCCACAAACUUGAAUACCUUAUGCACAAAACACAAACAUUGUUAUGCAUAAUGUACAUGAACCCUGAAACAAAGAUAAUGAUUUGGACCACCCAACUGAAGUGGCAUGUUAUGUUUUUGGCAUGAACAAAAGAAACAAGAGAGAAAAAAAUCAAAAUAAUUAAAAUAAAUUGUUAGAGAAAAGUUACUUUAAAAAUAGCUAUAACGCUUUGCAAUUUCAGUAACAGUUCUGCCUCUGAUGCAAUGUAAAACAUGUAUUAGACAUUCAGGCUCCACAAUAAAUUUUAAUGAGCACUACAAAUUUAGAAUAUAUAAAAAUAUCAGUAACCUAUGAAUUCAUCAACAUAACUCACUUUUCAGUUAAGUUAGGCUGAGUUGAAAUUCUACUAAGUUUUCCCAUAUUCUUGAUAAAGGCUAAAUUUGAAAUAAUUUAUUUAGAUGACUAAUUGGCAAUUUGAUAGUAGUUACAUUUUAUGUAACACUUGAUAUAAUAACCCAAAUUAAUUAGCUCAAUAUUAUCUUCUGUGGUUUAUUGAUCCAAAAGUACAUAUUUGUUAUGUAAACUUAUACUAUGUAAACUUGAAUUAGUUUUUUGCUUCCUUGAAUUAAUAAAGCCCAUUAAUGCAAAUCUAAGCCUUCAUAGACUUUUCCAAUCCUUAGUUAAAUAUUAAAAACUGAGUAUUGUAGUUAUUUGCUAGGUAUAAAAGGUGACUCAGAGUAGAGAGUAAGAUGUCAGCAAAUAGACAAUAAGAUGUCAGCAAAAGUGCCUCAAAUUUUAACUGCGUCAAGUUAAGGGCAUUGUAAAUACUGUAGUUUUAUGUAGCUUGCAACUUCUACUGAAAUGAGUUUAAUCAUGUCUUUCACAUAGCUGAAGUUUGUGUCAAGAUUUAAGCUGAUUUUCUCAUUCUUAUCAAAGUCUCACCUGGGGGUAGGGAGGGGUAGGCCUACCUCCCACCUCUAUACUAUCAUUUUAGGAACAGACAGGCAUAAAUCUGUUCAUAUGGUAGAACACAUGAUGUUAGAGUAUAUUUUGUUGAAUGCUAUGGAAUAUUAAUAUAAUUAAUUCUAAAAUAUCACCUAAAAUAUGUCAACUGAAGAUCUGACUGUACUAAAUAUGAAAAAUAAAGCAGCACAUACUUUC